AUUUCAUUCAAAUCCUUAACUUCAAGAGGUAAACUACUCUUCUUGUUCUCUUCUUCAUCUCUACUAUUGGAUAUACUCUAUCCCUGCAGUGCUGCCCGGCACAGGAAGUAGCUGGAGAUGAUGGUGAUGUAAGAUGUGGAACCUACUUGUUGCAU